rnacentral:rRNA from 1 species
CUGCAACUCGCCUGCAUGAAGUCGGAAUUGCUAGUAAUCGCGGAUCAGCAUGCCGCGGUGAAUACGUUCCCGGGUCUUGUACACACCGCCCGUCACACCAUGGGAGUUGGGGAUACCCGAAGCCUGUGAGCUAACUUUUAGAGGCAGCAGUCGAAGGUAGAAUCAAUGAUUGGGGUGAAGUCGUAACAAGGUAGC